rnacentral:misc_RNA from 1 species
AUGGGACGGCCCGCUGGGCUGUUCCCGCCCCUAUGCCCUUUUUUGGGUUUCCGGCCAGAGGCAUGCUGGGAGCGUCACAUGCAAAUUGAGCGUGCACCCAGCGUUCCGCCCUUUCUACGCUGGGCCGGUUAUCGACCCGGCCCAGUGCGCAGGCGCGGGAAAGUUGAACUAAUAAAGUUUGUACGAGUUCAGUGGAGGAGACCGCAAGUUGAGUGGAGGAGGCGGCGGUGGGGCCCCGGACCAGGUGCCUCCAUGGCAGGCUCUGAAGAGCUGGGGCUCCGGGAAGACACGCUGAGGGUCCUAGCUGCCUUCCUUAGGCGUGGUGAGGCUGCCGGGUCUCCUGUUCCAACUCCACCUAGCCCUGCCCAAGAAGAGCCAACAGACUUCCUGAGCCGCCUUCGAAGAUGUCUUCCCUGCUCCCUGGGGCGAGGAGCAGCCCCCUCUGAGUCCCCUCGGCCUUGCUCUCUGCCCAUCCGCCCCUGCUAUGGUUUAGAGCCUGGUAAGAGAUUUCCAUGAUCAUCUAUGAAGCCGGCAGAACACGGGAUAAGGCCCAGCUACUCCAGACUUCUAUGCUUUGGUGGCCCAGCGGCUGGAACAGCUGGUCCAAGAGCAGCUGAAAUCUCCGCCCAGCCCAGAAUUACAGGGUCCCCCAUCGACAGAGAAGGAAGCCAUACUGCGGAGGCUGGUGGCCCUGCUGGAGGAGGAGGCAGAAGUCAUUAACCAGAAGGAGGGCAUCCUGGCUGUUUCACCCGUGGACUUGAACUUGCCAUUGGACUGAGCUCUUUCUCAGAAGCUGCUACAAGAUGACACCUCAUGUCCCUGCCCUCUUCGUGUGCUUUUCCAAGUCUUCCUAUUCCACUCAGGGCUGUGGGGUGGUGGUUGCCCUACCUGUUUUUGCCAAAAAUAAAUUGUUUAAAACUUUUCUUAUUAAAAACGUUACAAAGUA